rnacentral:lncRNA from 1 species
CCCAGGUGUGUUCGAUUCCAAAGCAUGUGAUCAUUCCACUUUGCAGUCAUUAAAUGAAGAACUAUGCAAAUCAUCUGUUUCACAAUUUACUGAAGAGUACCAAGUGAGACUUAAUGGCAAACUUGUUGGACUAACUCAUCUCCUCGGCAUUGGAGUGGGAUGGGGAGCAGAAAGUGCGAUAGAGAACUCCUGCAUUGAGUGUGACUGUGCUGGCCUUGGAUGUCAGGUAGCAGGUGGCAUUGGGAAGGG